CCCUUUAACAAGUUUGAGAUCUCAGUGCUUUGGGGGUUUCUUCCUUGGGGCCCUAUCUUAGUCACAGGGUAGUGGUUUUUCCUUACAUUUGCUAUUCCUAUGUUCUUUAGAGUUUCUUUACUUUUUACUAGCCAAUCCCUCGUUCUUCCAAACCCCUGUUUAGUUAGUAAUUCUUCAUAUUAAACUUUCCUUGCUCAAAUUACCACAUGGUUUCUCUCUCCUGAUUGGACCCAGACUGAUACAGGAUGAUACCACUGAUAUCUUUUCCAGAUAAUGGAAAAGAAUGACUCUCCCAGAGGGUAAGACCAGUGGCCAUGAGAGCAGCAGACAAACAAGUUCUUUCUAGAGAUUCCAGAGAUCAGAAUCAGAGCCUAACCAAAGAGUUUACUUUCUUGUCUGGGAAGGAAGACUUCUUAGUUCCUGCCAAACAGGAAUAUCACAGUGAUUACUAUGUUUCCCACUUGUCAUUUUCAGAAUGGUAGUUUUUACUGCAGCUCUUUAUCCUGUAUCAAGAUGUAUGGUAGUGCAACUCGUGUAUUAGAUAAUGAACUGCUGGUCCUUGAAGAUCCACCUUUAGAUCAGCUGGAGAGAAAUAAACAUCACUAGGCAACCCUAGAUUUUGAACUGGGAACAAUAACUAGAUGCACUUGAAGUUGCAUUCCUUGGGGAGGCUCUGUGUUUUCUGCGUGGGAAGAUUGGUGCAUGUGAAUAUGUGGGAGCUAGAGGCCGAGGACAGAAACUUCUGUUUUCCAGGAUUCUUUAUCCAUUUUCCUUUUAAUAAUAUAACUCCUUGAAUUUUUGGUGAGUACCCCAGCCAGAGACUCUAUACUCGCAUUCUCCUUUGUAGGUAUGUAAGACUGGGUUCUUGACGAUGAAGUAUGAAGAGAAGUGAUACAUGUAACAGUCUUGCUCUUAACACAAGUGGUGAUGCUGCCUGUCUUCAUCAUUAUAUUUGGUAGUUUGAGAUGGAGAAGAGCACGUUUUUUAAAGGUGAGCACAAUAAUGUGUAUCCCAGCCUCCAUGCUCUUAGUACGGUGCAAUUUUGACAUGUCUGUUGAGAUGUGGAGAGGGUCUGUGUUUUCUCGCUUUGAAUCUGGGAGAGCCUGUGACCGUGGGAAAACUGACACUGUGAGUUCUGAGGCUGCCUCCUGGUAGGGGUACAGCUUCUGCCUGGUCUUCUUGAGACACUUGCCCUUGGAACCAAACCAGUAUACUUUGAGGAAGGUAAUUACCCAUGGGAAGAAUCCAUGUGUCAGUAUCCCAGCCACCAUCUCAGCUGAAAGUCAGUGUCAACCAAAUAUGGGUACCUGAGUCCUCAGAUGAUUCCAGCCAUCAGCCUGUAAGCCAUUUCAGCUAACUCCAAGAGGGGCAAAGAUGGCAUUUCCCCACCAAGCCCUUGCUAAACUGCAGAGCAAAAUAAACAUUAUUGUUUUAAGCCGCUACGUUUUGGAGUGGUUUGUGACUCAACAGUAGAUAAAACAGAACAUAGGGUGAUUAAACUUACAAUUUAGUCAAAUGUUGCCAGAUAUGAUACAUCACAUGGACAGGAAAAACGUGCUUCUCAAGAGAUCCUGGACAUACCAUUUUACUUAGUAGCUAGAUUUGAUUUUGUGUUCUCUGCCUCUGGGGAAGUGUAAGUGCAUUUUCAGUUGUAGAUGGGAUAAUUGUAUUUACUCUAUUACAUAGAGGAAAUGUGGGAAUUAUUUGUGUACGUCUAAAAUGAUGUUAUAAGCGGGACUUUCCUGUCUCCGUUUUGACAAAGGUACCAGUAAUCAGUGUCAGGUUAACUGAGAGGAGGACGGAUCUCAACUUCAUAUUGAUUUAUUCAACGUGGAGUGCUUAUAAUGAACCACUUGUUAUUCUAAGUGCUGGAGAUAGAGCAGUGAACAAAGCAGUUAAAAUUGUCUGCCCGCAAGAAGCAGACGUAUGCAGAAUUAGAAAGGAAAUGCCUCUAAAGACCUGUUCCUUAAGGAGUAUCAAAAGGGGUCAAGGUAAAGUGGAGUUUGGGUAAGAGACUUUACUGAAGAGUUGUUGGCAUGUGUACUGGUCAGGAGAGACCAAGUUAUGUUGUGGUUUUGCACAGAUGAGCCAGAUGUCAGACAUGUGUAGGAUAUCAUGGAUCUGUUGUGUAAGGGCCAGAAAACCUCAGCAGGAAAAGGAGGAAGAUGAACACAUGCAGGAAUAAGAGUGUGGAGAGAAUGGUAGAAGACCAUCUGGAGGUGAAAUUCAUCUGACCACCUGGGUCAAGGUCGCUGUGGGAGAGAGAGAUCCUGCAGAGAAGGGGUGGGGGCCAAGAGCAGAAGGACACUCUCCUCUGUCCCCCCACUACCCUCCACUGCCACUUCCCAUGACAUGUCUCCAGAGAAAGCAGGUCCCAGUUUAGGAUAAAAAGAAUGUUUGAUACUGAAUAAAAUUUAAAAUUUUGUUUCAUAAUUUGUACUGGGCAUUCUACUUUUUAAAUUGAAACUGUGCUUACCACUACCAGAAACUGAAGAACUUUUAUUUUCUGUGAGUGAGUGACCACAAAAACCAUGAAUCUGCUCAAGUAUUCUUUCGCCAUAAGGAAAGAUUACCUGAACUGAAUAAAUUUUGAAACCAAGUCUGAAGAAUUUUCUCCAGUGCUGGACCAUCCAUGAAGGUGUCUGCUUUCAGUAUCCCUUUUCCAGAGUGGCAACUUGUGUCUAAAGAUAAGCUAAGCGACUUUUCAUCAGUAUCUACAAUGUCACUUCAAGGCCUCCAAUCCAAGGAUUUACCUUAUUCCUGUGACUGAAAAUAUCUGUCAAAUGACCCCAAAUCCAUGAAUCAACUCUUCCCCAUCAAACUGACCUGGAAUUUGGGUUGUUUUUCUCCACCUAACAGUAGAACUCCUGCAAAAGGUUUAUUUAAAUAUGUGAAGACUUGUCUUUUGGAAAUUGGCACAUAUAUUAUAUUUCUUGUUACGACAAAACCUCUUGAAAGGUAGUAAUUCAAGGCCCCAUUUAGCUGUUGACAUGCCAACUUGUGAUCUAGUGUUCCACUGACAUGUGGUACUUCCUUCUUCAUUCACCCACAAAACCAGACGAGUUCCAACGCCCUGGGGGCUCAUCUGUGCUUGGAGUAGCAGGACAUUUCUUCCAGCUGAAAUUUUCUUUGGCAAAGUCAUGUCUUGAAGAUACUGAUACCACCAAAUGGGUAAUUCUUUUUUGAUGAUAUCAGUGGAAACACCAUGGACAAAAAACAGGAGCUGAUUGCACUGACAUUUAAUUGUUUCAUCCGAUGGUAAGCUGAAGGGAAAAAAUAACAGUAACUUACAUGAAUUUAAAUUUAACUGAUGCAAAUGUUAGAAUUUGUUGUGAUGAUGCUUAAAUACAUGCACACAAGUACUUGACUGAAUUUGACUAAACCAUUUAAAUAACAUUUAAUCUAAUAACUGGUCAUAAGAUGACAAUUGUUUUAAACCAGAUACUUUGAAAGAUAGUAUAAUUUUUUUCUUUUAGUUUCUAUCAGCAGGAAUUUUUUUAUAUUCAUGUAAAUAUAAGAGGAUGUCCAAUUUGUUUGAGAUAUAAGGCAAAUAUGCGUCCAAGAUACUAAAAUGGUAAACAUCAUUUUGGAAUGGUUGCUAAUUGUACUUAGCUAAAUAUUAAAUUGUCAGACUUUCAGAACAAAUAUUACUCUUGAACAUGGGCCAUGCUUUUGAGUUUAUAAAUAUUAGUGUUCAAUCAACUGUUACAUCUACAAUAGUACAUAUCUUUACUACUGACUCUAGUAGAGUAAAUAUCUUUAAUUUUUUCUUAAUGAUUAAAUUAGUGUGUUAUUCAUGUUACUUAUAUACUAGAGCAUAAUAUUUAAGAAAAUUAGUUGUCUAACAGCAUCAGCAUAUAUGAAGGACUUGGGUGAUACAUAAAUAAUGUCUUCUGAUCACAUUUAUCCUUUAAUAAUAAUAAUAAUGAUAAUAAUAUCUCUUCAGAAUCUUUUCUAAUUUCGGCUUAAGUGUCAUGUUCUCAAAUUUACACCAGAUCAUUACAAAAAAUAACUGCCUGAAAACUUGCUUUUGCAUUUGUUAUAUUAAACAUUUUGUUAAUACAUUGUCUUUCCUGAAGCUUAAUAUACCAGUUGAAACAAGUACUGAGAAAAGAGAAGGAAAGAAAAGCAAGAAGGAAGAAA